rnacentral:tRNA from 1 species
CUUGUAGCUCAGGUGGUUAGAGCGCACCCCUGAUAAGGGUGAGGUCGGUGGUUCAAGUCCACUCAGGCCUA